GGGCGCGUAGCUCAAUGGCAGAGCAGUAGCCUUUUAAGCUAUUUGUUGAGAGUUCGAGCCUCUCCGCGCUCA
rnacentral:tRNA from 1 species